rnacentral:rRNA from 1 species
GGGGAAUAUUGCGCAAUGGGCGGAAGCCUGACGCAGCGACGCCGCGUGGGGGAUGACGGCCUUCGGGUUGUAAACCUCUUUCGACCUCGACGAAGCUUUUCGGAGUGACGGUAGGGGUGGAAGAAGCACCGGCCAACUACGUGCCAGCAGCCGCGGUAAUACGUAGGGUGCGAGCGUUGUCCGGAAUUAUUGGGCGUAAAGAGCUCGUAGGCGGUGUGUCGCGUCGGCCGUGAAAACCUGCAGCUUAACUGUGGGCGUGCGGUCGAUACGGGCAUCACUGGAGUUCGGCAGGGGAGACUGGAAUUCCUGGUGUAGCGGUGAAAUGCGCAGAUAUCAGGAGGAACACCGAUGGCGAAGGCAGGUCUCUGGGCAUUAACUGACGCUGAGGAGCGAAAGCAUGGGGAGCGAAC